UGGCGCCGGCGCACGGGUGAGUAACACGUAUCCAACCUGCCGAUAACUCGGGGAUAGCCUUUCGAAAGAAAGAUUAAUAUCCGAUAGGAUAUCAAGGUCGCAUGAUCUUGAUAUUAAAGAAUUUCGGUUAUCGAUGGGGAUGCGUUCCAUUAGUUAGUUGGCGGGGUAACGGCCCACCAAGACGACGAUGGAUAGGGGUUCUGAGAGGAAGGUCCCCCACAUUGGAACUGAGACACGGUCCAAACUCCUACGGAAGGCAGCAG
rnacentral:rRNA from 1 species